GAUCCGGCUCAGGAUGAACGCUAGCUACAGGCUUAACACAUGCAAGUCGAGGGGCAGCAUGACGGAAGCUUGCUUCCGUUGAUGGCGACCGGCGCACGGGUGAGUAACGCGUAUCCAACCUGCCCUUGUCCACCGGAUAACCCGUCGAAAGGCGGACUAACACGGUAUGCAGUCCACAGCAGGCAUCUAACGUGGACGAAAUGUGAAGGAAAAGGAUGGGGAUGCGUCUGAUUAGCUUG
rnacentral:rRNA from 1 species